GUGCUUGCUUCAGCAAUAUAUAUACUAAAAUUUGAAUGAUACAGAGAAGAUUAACAUGGCCCCUGCACAAGGAUGAUAUGAA
rnacentral:snRNA from 1 species